rnacentral:rRNA from 1 species
UACAGAGGGAGCAAGCGUUAUUCGGAAUUAUUGGGCGUAAAGGGCGCGUAGGCGGCUUGGCAAGUGGAUGGUGAAAUCCCUCGGCUUAACCGAGGAACUGCCGUCCAAACUGCUUCGCUUGAGACCGGGAGAGGUGAGUGGAAUUCCCAGUGUAGCGGUGAAAUGCGUAGAUAUUGGGAGGAACACCAGUGGCGAAGGCGGCUCACUGGACCGGUACUGACGCUGAUGCGCGAAAGCGUAGGGAGCAAACGGG